UUAUCAUAGUAUUUUUACAAAAUGCAGAAAAAUAGGAUUGUGAGCGUGGCUGAGGGCCCAUGGGGCCGAGCGACUAUCUAUUCAGAUGAAUCGGAAGAUAAAACGACACAGAAAGUUAAGGCACAAGAAGACAGACCGAUAACAUUUCUCAUGGAAAAGAAACAGUCGGAGUUGUCGGAUCAGCAAUCGCAGCAGACCGUCGUUUCGUGUUUUAAGUUCGAAAACGCCUCAUUGAAGAGCUCUCUGUUCAAUGCCGAUGAUGUUUAUCGAUUACCUAGCUUCGAGGCAUCGUUAUUCGCUACUCUCUUAGAGGAUACCAUCACAGAGUUGCGGAUUUUAGUCGAGUGCAACACGGAGAUGCGCAUAAGCAAGCUCCAUUCUGACAUGGGGUUACUCCUGGCGCUCAAGUUCGGUGUGGCGCAGCCCUCGUUCAAAGACGUUCUGGACGGCAUCGACCCGAAGCACUUGGGCUGUAACGAAUAUAAACUCAACAAGCUGGAUGCAGACAGGAAAUAUCUAGCAGAAGUGCUCCAGACUUCAUACGCGGACCUGGCGCUGAACAAGUGCUACAGAACCCUCGCGGAGCACGUGAAGGAUGUCGUGGAACGGGACAUCUACCGCACUGAGCUGCAAGAGGCUGAGGCUAGACAUAGAAUACUGCGACGCGACACGAACCGACUUCUGCGUCAGCAGCGGAACCACAUCAAGUCAGUCACUUACGACACUGACGCUAUCAUCGACGAUCUCCGCACGCAAGUCGAGGACUUCACUCUCAACGCGGAGACGUGCGCCCGCUACGUCCAAAACUGGGAGCGCGCGCGCACCGAGCAACAUCUCCAGACUAUCUACGACGCCGAGUUCGAGCCUUCACAGGUUAGAAGUCUAUCCCAAUCAUCGAAGUGGUCGAGUACUUCAAGCAGCGUACAGAUCACGAGCAACGCGUGCAUACGGAAGUGGAACUGCUCAUCAACAUCGCUAUCAAUGAGACAUUGGAAGAAGUCGAAAGGUGGAUGGAGAAAUAUGACAGGGACAUGGAAAGAAUCGAUUUGAAAAUUCAAAUAAAGAAGAAUGAGUACCAAAACGCACGUGAUGAGAGAAUGGGAUUGGAGGACACGAUCGAAAAGCACGACAAGCUCAUGAAGGACUGGAUCCACUUUAAGGAGGAACGCGAGAAGGAGCGUCUGUACCGCGAGACCAUGAACAAGUCUGCCAUCACCGUGCAAGCGUGGUGGCGCGGGCUACUGGUG
rnacentral:misc_RNA from 1 species